rnacentral:rRNA from 1 species
GUGGGGAAUAUUGGACAAUGGGCGAAAGCCUGAUCCAGCCAUGCCGCGUGUGUGAAGAAGGUCUUCGGAUUGUAAAGCACUUUAAGUUGGGAGGAAGGGCAGUAAGUUAAUACCUUGCUGUUUUGACGUUACCGACAGAAUAAGCACCGGCUAACUUCGUGCCAGCAGCCGCGGUAAUACGAAGGGUGCAAGCGUUAAUCGGAAUUACUGGGCGUAAAGCGCGCGUAGGUGGUUUUGUAAGUUGGAGGUGAAAUCCCCGGGCUCAACCUGGGAACUGCCACCAAAACUGCAUGACUAGAGUACGGUAGAGGGUAGUGGAAUUUCCUGUGUAGCGGUGAAAUGCGUAGAUAUAGGAAGGAACACCAGUGGCGAAGGCGACUACCUGGACUGAUACUGACACUGAGGUGCGAAAGCGUGGGGAGCAAACAGGAUUAGAUACCCCUGUAGUCC